rnacentral:rRNA from 1 species
CACGUAGGGUGCAAGCGUUGUCCGGAUUCAUUGGGCGUAAAGGGUGCGUAGGCGGUCCUGAUCGUCGGAUGUGAAAGGCCUGGGCUCAACCUGGGAAUGGCAUCCGAUACGGCGGGACUGGAGUGUGGGAGAGGUUGGUGGAAUUCCCAGUGUAGAGGUGAAAUUCGUAGAUAUUGGGAAGAACACCGGUGGCGAAGGCGGCUCUCUGGGACGGUACUGACGCUGAGACGCGAAAAGCGUGGGGAGCGAACAGG